GAAAACGCACCCAAACUAACUCCAUAACACUGUGAUUCGACGGUUUUCCCGGCGACCAGGACAAGGCGGCGGAUGGAAGUUUUGCGCGAGUCGGCUUAAUCCAAUUAAAUCGCACUGAACCUCCCACUCGUAUCGGCGGCAGCAAUCCGUUUUUUCCGGAACAACAAGGCACCGAUUUCUUCGCUCACGAGUUGCAAUCAUCACCUGGCAUCAUCAUUAUCAUCCUCCUCCGCCCGGGGAAGCAGCAUUUGAUUCGACCACACCCCGAUAGACCAAUAGGUCCACCUGAACGCGACUCACCUUGUUAAGCGCAGCACUACUACGGAAUACAGUCAGACAACGUCCAUUUUCGAGCUUGUUUAUGGGACUAAUAAAUGGAAUCCGUUGUCUAGCUGCUGCUGCUGAUGCUGUCGCUGCAGAUGUUGCCGCUUUUUCCCAGUCCAUGUCCAGGACUUCAGCAGCAAUAGUGUCCAGAUUCUUUAUUGGCGCUCGUUAAGUGGACAUAAACAGCGGAGCUUUCGAAAACGGUGGACACAGGGAGCGACGAAGGUUGGAAUCCCAAUAAUGAAGUGGCACCGGUUCUAUCGAAGGUCCUACUCCUAGAUUGGAACACUUCAGACUGGUAUCGAAUAAACGGAUGGAAUAGAGUGGCCUGGGAAAAGUAGAACGAGAAACGCUGCAAUGGGUUAGGACACCGAAAUGGGUGGAAUGCAAUCUAGUCGGGACACUCCGGAUGUGUACUGGCAGCCGUCGUUAUUUCGCAAUUAUGUGCAAGCCAUUGCGAUAAAUUCUCCGCUUCUUUUGCACUUCUCACAGUUGUAGUCAAUAUAGUAUUGAGUAAGUAGAGUACAUUCGAGGGAAAUGGAAGAAACGCCAAAUCAACAUUAGUCUAGAAGAGCGAACGGAACAAAUAGCUGCAAAACGGGGCCAUCGAAACAGUCCUUCGUGACACAUCGUUCUUAAAUAAAAAAGAAAAAAAUUCGGAAAAACAAUUUAGAAUAACACUUUGAACCGAGAAAACCUGACUGACGUGCACCGAAACCACCCACCCCCUCGUAGAAUCAUGACCAAAAAACGAUUUCCGAGAAAAUGAGCAAACGGAAAAAGAAAAACUUUUCCCGCCUUCUGCGAUCCCAUUCCAUCCAAGUGAGCCGGAACGAAACAUAACCCGCAAAGAUCCAAGAGUGCUUUGAAAAGUGCAAUCGAACGGUGAAAGACUGGCUGGGAAAGGGACUACUAGGUAUAGUUUCUGCGAGAGGGAGUAAAAAGGGCGCGGUUGGUAACCCUAGAGUUGAUUGAGUGCCGGUCAGUUAGCAGUAACAGCAAAAGAAAACUUGUGCGGUUAGCACCGCUUUUCUAUUCAGAAAAG